GUUCAAACGAGGAAGGCUUACGGUGAUACUAGCACCAGAGACGAGGAAGUAGUAGCGACGAAAUGCUUCGGGGAGUUGAAAUAAGCAUAGAUCCGUGAUUCCGAUAGGUUAACUUUCACUGCUGUCUGGAACUGUGGGAGGCAGAGAUAAACCUUGGCGAACUGAAACAUCUUAUAGCCAUAGGGUAAAGUAGCAAAAGCGUUCCGUAGUAGCGGCGAGUCGAAAUGGAGCAGCCUAACCGGUGAAAACGGGUUGUGGAGAGGCAAUACAAGCGUCGUGCUGCUAGGCGAAGCAGUUAGAAUGCUGCACCCUAGAUGGCGAAAGUCAGUAGCCGAAAGCAUCACUAGCUUACGCUUGACCCGAGUAGCAUGGGGCACGUGGAAUCCCGUGUGAAUCAGCAAGGACAACCUUGCAAGGCUAAUAUCUGGGUGACGAUAGGAGUUAGUCUCGUGAGGGAAGGGUGAAAGACCAUCGGGGAGUGAAAUAGAACAUGAAACGUAGCUCCAAGCAGUGGGGAGCGGGGGCUCUGCAUACUCGUUGAAGAAGAUCCU
rnacentral:lncRNA from 1 species